rfam:Desulfosporosinus sp. I2 contig00345, whole genome shotgun sequence.
CCCUGGUGUACCAGUUGUCUCGCCAGAGGCACAGCUGGGUAGCUAUAUUCGGAGCGGAUAAGCGCUGAAAGCAUCUAAGCGCGAAACCGACCUCAAGAUGAGAUUUCCCACAGCGUAAGCUGGUAAGACCCCUGAAAGAUGAUCAGGUUGAUAGGCCAGGUGUGGAAGCGCGGUGACGUGUGGAGCUGACUGGUACUAAUAGGUCGAGGGCUUGACCUA